GAUAAAAUUAGUUAUGAAAUAUAAUUCAUAUUAUUAUAGCUAGUUAUCUUAUAAGUUUAAUUAAUAAUAUAUUUAUUAAUAAUUUAAGUUGGGAUAAUCUAAUUUAAUAGGUAUAUUGUUUUGAUAUUUUAUUUAAGUAUAAUUAAAAGUUUUAAUUUAAAUAAUUUUUUAAUUUUGUUAUUGUUAAUUUUUAUUUUAUUAUUUUUUUAUAGGGUUAUUAUAUUUAUUUUUUUUUAUAAAAAAUAAUUAAUAUAUUAGUAAUUGUAUUUAUUUUAUUUUUGUUUUUUUGGUAUAAUGAUAAGGUUUUGUGAUGAAUUAAGCAAAGUAUUUUUUGACUGUUUAGCAAAAACAUUGUUUUUUGAUAAAAUAAAAAAUAAUUUCUGCCCACUGAAAUUUUAAGGGCUGCAGUAUUUUAACUGUAUUAAGGUAGCAAAAUCAUUAGUUUUUUAAUUGGAAACUGGUAUGAAGAGUAAACGAUAAAUGACUAUAUAAGAAAGUUUUUUGAAAUUUUUAAUUAUGUGAAAAUUCAUAUUUAGAAUAAAUAGACGAGAAGACCCUAGAAAUCUUUAUUUAAUUAUUUUUGUUUAAAAUAUUAAUUAAAAAAAUAAUUUUAAUAAAAUUUAAUUGGGGAGGUUAAUUAUUAAACAUAAUUGGAUUUUAAUUUCUU
rnacentral:rRNA from 1 species